GUAACCCUCUUCCUGGUGUUUGGGCGGCUGCCAGACGAGAGGAAGGCCAAUUCUGGCUUGUGAGCUCUAGGCCUCUGUUGCCUUAUUUUGUCUGGUUGGUCUGAGAGCGCAGCAAGGGCCCAGCCCGGGCAGCUGGGGUCAGGACUGGAAGCCUGGGGUCAGUGGCAGCAUCCCUGCUUGCCUCCCAGAGUCCUCGGCACCACGACAGUAAAGGGGUGUCAACCGCUGCCUCUCAGGGGGCGGGUGGAUGUCUGGGACCCCGGUGACACCUGCUUGCCUCCCAGCUGUUGCUCACAGCACCCUGGGUGUGGGGGUGGGACGUCUCCACUUGCCACACGUGACCUCUGUUCUCUGCUUGGUCAAGACCAGACGCUGGGAUUUGGUUUAAAAAUUUCUGAAUCAUUUGUUGUGUUUGCUUCAAAAAUAGAAUUUCCAAGUUGGGACAAGCACUUUCCGUUUUUGUUGUGUGUAAGACAUGCCAUCGUUGGAUUUUUUUACUUGUCCAGAGCUCACCAUGUCAUGAAGUCUCCACUAAACUCAGCCUUCAUUAGCUGAGCUAAUGGGACCCUCUGACAGAGGUGGGAGGUGCUCUCCUCAACCCCGUGAAAGCCCCAUGAUGUCCAGGACCUGGGCAUUGGUCCAUUUUGGGGCUUGGUGCAGCCUCCCUCAGGCUCACACCCCCAGCACACGUAGUCCCAACCUGCUGGCUGCCUCCUCGUGACCAGUCGCUGCUCUGGGAAUCUGCCUGGGCUCAGAAGACUUGCCGGGAAGCUACCUUGGGCCUCUUCUGGCCUGGGCGUGUGCGUGUGCGUGUGCGUGCGUAGGAGGGGAUCUUCACUUCCUAAGGACUAGAAAUCCAGGGCACUUGUCCCUGACACGUGACCCAUAUAAGCAGCCCAGAGUACAGCACCGAGGAACCCCCAGUGGCUUCAGCUGGAGAAGGCCCAGCGCAGUUUUGCUGCUAGGGCAGCUCCUCUACCCUCGACACGCUCUUCUGAGCUCUGGUGUCACCUAGAAAGGAAGAGACACUGGUUGGGCCUUAGGAAGAGGUGAGAUUUUAAUCCCAAUGUUGGUAAAUAAACUCUGCGGAAGCCAUA